GACGAACGCUGGCGGCGUGCUUAACACAUGCAAGUCGAACGGAAAGGCCCUGCUUUUGUGGGGUGCUCGAGUGGCGAACGGGUGGGUAACACGUGAGUAACCUGCCCUUGACUUUGGGAUAACUUCAGGAAACUGGGGCUAAUACCGGAUAGGAGCUCCUGCUGCAUGGUGGGGGUUGGAAAGUUUCGGCGGUUGGGGAUGGACUCGCGGCUUAUCAGCUUGUUGGUGGGGUAGUGGCUUACCAAGGCUUUGACGGGUAGCCGGCCUGAGAGGGUGACCGGCCACAUUGGGACUGAGAUACGGCCCAGACUCCUACGGGAGGCAGCAGUGGGGAAUAUUGCACAAUGGGCGGAAGCCUGAUGCAGCAACGCCGCGUGCGGGAUGACGGCCUUCGGGUUGUAAACCGCUUUCGCCUGUGACGAAGCGUGAGUGACGGUAAUGGGUAAAGAGGCACCGGCUAACUACGUG
rnacentral:rRNA from 1 species